CCUACGGGAGGCAGCAGUGAGGAAUAUUGGUCAAUGGGCGCGAGCCUGAACCAGCCAAGUAGCGUGAAGGAUGACUGCCCUACGGGUUGUAAACUUCUUUUAUAAAGGAAUAAAGUGAGGCACGUGUGCCUUUUUGUAUGUACUUUAUGAAUAAGGAUCGGCUAACUCCGUGCCAGCAGCCGCGGUAAUCCGGAGGGUCCGAGCGUUAUCCGGAUUUAUUGGGUUUAACGGGAGCGUAGAUGGGUUGGUAAGUCAGUUGUGAAAGUUUGGGGCUCAACCGUAAAAUUGCAAUUGAUACUGGCAGGCUUGAGUGCAGGAGAGGUAGGCGGAAUUCGUGGUGUAGCGGUGAAAUGCUUAGAUAUCACGAAGAACUCCGAUUGCGAAGGCAGCUUACUAGACUGCCACUGACAUUGAUGCUCGAAAGUGUGGGUAGCAAACAGGAUUAGAUACCCGAGUAGUC
rnacentral:rRNA from 1 species